rnacentral:siRNA from 1 species
UAUUAGUGCAGUGAUCGUUGAU